GACGAACGCUGGCGGCGUGCUUAACACAUGCAAGUCGAACGGUGACGCGCCUUCCUUUUUGGUGGGUGUGGAUGAGUGGCGAACGGGUGAGUAACACGUGAGUAACCUGCCCCCUUCUUCUGGAUAACCGCAUGAAAGUGUGGCUAAUACGGGAUAUUCUGGGUCUGUCUCAUGAUGGGUCUGGGAAAGAUAUUGUUUCGGUAGGGGCUGGGCUCGCGGCCUAUCAGCUGGUUGGUGGGGUGAUGGCCUACCAAGGCUGUGACGGGUAGCCGGCCAGAGCGGGUGCACGGGCAGACUGGAGCGGAGGAACGGCCAAGACGCGAAUGAGACGCAGCAGUGGGGAAUACGGCACGAUGGGGGGAAGCCUGAUGCAGCGUGGCCGCGUGAGUGAUGGAGGCCUUCGGGUUGAGAGCCGCAUUCGUUAGUGAAGCAGGCCUGCCUCGUUUGUGAGGGUGUUGACGGUAGCGGGAUAAGAAGCGCCGGCUAACUACGUG
rnacentral:rRNA from 1 species